AAGAUACGCCGGAUGGUCACCCCGCCAACAUUUAAAAAUAAUCGUAGGCGGGGAGGAAAGUCCGAACACCCUCAUUGAAAAAUGAGAAGUGGGCAGUGGGUAACACCCACGCCUUGAAAGAGGAAUCUUUCAGGGACGGAUAGUGCAACAGAAAAUAUACGGCCCUCUUUCCCCUAAAGGGCAAGAGAGCAAAGGUGAAAUCGUGCGGUAAGAGCGCACGCUCCGACCUCGCAAGACGCCGGAGUUGAAAACCCUGCCUGGUGCAAGGCCGUGUCCCGCCAACCAUUGAAACUUUCAAAGGAAGGCGGGAAGUGCCGCUUCAGGCCCCGCCGUAAGGCGAGGCUGAGAUAAAUGACCAUACAUCCCGCUUUCAGCGGGAGGACAGAAUUCGGCUUAUAGGCGUAUCUAAAUC
rnacentral:RNase_P_RNA from 7 species